GAUGAACGCUGGCGGCGUGCCUAAUACAUGCAAGUCGAGCGAACAGACGAGGAGCUUGCUCCUCUGACGUUAGCGGCGGACGGGUGAGUAACACGUCGAUAACCUACCUAUAAGACUGGGAUAACUUCGGGAAACCGGAGCUAAUACCGGAUAAUAUAUUGAACCGCAUGGUUCAAUAGUGAAAGACGGUUUUGCUGUCACUUAUAGAUGGAUCCGCGCCGCAUUAGCUAGUUGGUAAGGUAACGGCUUACCAAGGCAACGAUGCGUAGCCGACCUGAGAGGGUGAUCGGCCACACUGGAACUGAGACACGGUCCAGACGCCUACGGGAGGCAGAAGUAGGGAAUCUUCCGCAAUGGGCGAAAGCGUGACGGAGCAACGCCGCGUGAGUGAUGAAGGUCUUCGGAUCGUAAAACUCUGUUAUUAGGGAAGAACAAAUGUGUAAGUAACUAUGCACGUCUUGACGGUACCUAAUCAGAAAGCCACGGCUAACUACGUG
rnacentral:rRNA from 1 species